rnacentral:lncRNA from 1 species
AGCGGGAUAAGCAUGGGCUGUUGGUCCAACGCUGAAGUGCUUAGCUAUUAAAACUUCAGGAAUAAAACGAGAAUAUACACUAUUGUCAAACAUGACCACGUUCUUUAGGAUUCCAGCAACCAAUAAUACCUGCUAGCUGAGUGCAGGAUAAAGUACCAGAGUCAUUUUACAGGAAAUGACAUGCAGAAUUGUGGAAAUUUGAUUGCGGAGAAUAGUAUGUAGUGACUUGAGCUGGUCAAUGGCACUCAAGUCAAGAAACUAUCAUUCUCUUUUACCUUCCUUAGAAAGGCAGCUCCAGAGUAUCCUUCUCUUUUCCACUGCUGAAUUUUUCUCUCAGUUAGGAGAUAUAUAGGCCAUGAUCCUUGAGAAAAGUAUCUAUUGGAUUCUCCGUCAACAAACAGCACCAACAAAGAUUAGGCAAUGCCAAGUUUAACACCAAGAGAGGGAAGAACUGCAAAUUACAACAGAAACUUAAGUUAAAAAAUAAGUAAAGAUCUCAAUACGAUCACAUUUAAUUGUCAUCUAAAUAAAGUACUACUUCAGUAUCAUCAUCUGAGUAUUAUGUGAUCAUGAAACAAUCAAAUAAGUGGAUGUGGGUGGCACACGCCCAGAACAGUAGGUUGCUGUUAGAGAAACAAUAAAAAGACAGAAGAAGGAAACAGAGAGUACACUAACAGUGAGGAAGUGGAUAGGGCAACCUAGGGUGGGAUGAAGGGUUGAGCCACAACCACUUAUAUUCAGGCUAAAUGCCAUGAAACAAAAUUCUGGGAUUAUGUUAGGCAUGGAUGGCAGAUCAGGACAUGUCAGAAACUAACAAAGGUCAAAGGGGAAAUUCUGGUGAUGUUUGAGAAAUUAAGCAUAAAAUAUGGUAUUAUUUUUAUAUUAUUUCAUUCCCCCCUAGCUUCCAAUGCUUUGUGAACUACAAAAGAGAAUAUACAAUUGAAGAACGUGAGCAAGAGUAGAUAGCUUAAGACAAACAUAUACGUUGUGUGCCUGAGUGCCUCUCUAUUUUGGUUCUCUGCAAACUCCUCGUAGUAUGACCAUGAUGCGCCAACUUUCAAACUUUCACAUAUCAAGUGAGUUUUUCAUCAGCACAAUUUCAUUUAUGACUAAAAAGGUAUAAAGCAAUUGUGGUUUUUCGAUAUCAAAUCAAAAUUUUCCAUUAUAAUUCCCAAGGAUUUGAAGAUUUUUUUAAUGGUUUAUAAUGCAUAACAAGCAGGACGAGAAUAAGGAAGUGCACAAGAAAAAAAGAAACAUUUAAACGUGUUUAGAGGAUAGAACCGGGUUGCAUAUGUGCUCGAUAGCAAAGAAGAAGGUCCACUUUGCUGAAAAGAAACAUGGCACUGACAAGUCAGGGCAAAAGACCAACUAAUGGGAGGGAUGAGGAGAACCGUCAGUAUUCUGGUCUCCUAACAUAUGAUAAAAACAAGCAAUGGAAUAACUCCAUUUCCUGGCACCAGGAAAUCCAUAUAUUGUUCAUUCUGAUACCUUUCCUCUGUUCAAAGCAGGUUUGGCCACUACUAGACGUCAAAAGCCCGGUCAUUGUUUUCCUCUCAUCCAGAAAAAGUAUUUAAAAUGUGUUCCUUUUGCUCCGGAAUUAAACGCAGAAUGAUGGUGAGUAGAAACAUAUUCUUCGGACUGUUUUACUACACAAACUUAACUCCAUUGCUUUUCUGUAAGUAAGUAUAACCUACUUCCACCGCAAUAUGAAAAACACUGCAAUCCACGACGCUUUGAUUCUACCACAGUGGGUGAUCACUAGUGAAAAUCUGCCAUACAAUGUACACAUGUGCAAGAAUCCGGUGGAUCUGUAUCACCAGUAGCAACGGAUGUUUUUACCAUUGCCACGUCCACUCGAGAAACGAUGGCCGAGCAAACACGGGAAAUAAUACGUGCACAAACCUCCAAAUUCGUAGUGGCGCCUUUCAAGAAUCUACCGAUCCUCAGAAAUCUGUGUGGG